rnacentral:rRNA from 1 species
UUUGAAGUCUGACCUGCCCAAUGAUUGUUAAAUGGCCGCAGUAUUUUGACUGUGCAAAGGUAGCAUAAUCAUUAGUUUUUUAAUUGAAAGCUGGAAUGAAUGGUUUGAUGAAAAAAGAUCUGUCUCGGAGUUAUUGGUUUAGAAAUUUAUUUUUUAGUUAAAAAGCUUAAAUGGUUUAGAAAGACGAGAAGACCCUAUAGAGUUUUAUAUUUAAUUUAUAAUAUUAAAUUUUGGGGUUUUAUAAAUUUUUGUAGAUUAAAUAUUUCGUUGGGGUGACGUAAAAAUUUGGUUAACUUUUUAUAGUAAGAACAUAAAUUAAUGAAUUUAUGAUCCUUGUUUUUGGAUUAAUAGAGAAAAUUACCUUAGGGAUAACAGCGUAAUUUUUUUAGAGAGUUCUUAUCGAAAAAAAAGAUUGCGACCUCGAUGUUGGAUUAAAAUUAAUUUUUGGUGUAGAAGCUUGAAAAUUAGGUCUGUUCGACCUUUGAAAUUUUACAUGAUCUGAGUUUAAACCGGCGUGAGCCAGGUUGGUUUCUAUCUUUUAAUAAGAAAAAUGUUUUAGUACGAAAGGACCAAACAUUUAAAUUAUAUUUUUUGUUUUGAAUUUUAUUAUUAUUUUGGCAGAUUAGUGCAAUAAAUUUAGAAUUUAUGUAUGUAAUGAAUUACAAAUAAUAUUGUUUAUUCAUGAUUUAUUAAUAGUUUUUGUAUCUAUAUUGAUUUUAGUUGUUUUUGUAUUAAUUGGGGUAGCAUUUUUA